ensembl:lncRNA
GACCUGGGGUAAGAUUUACGAUAUAACAUGUUCCACUAAAGAAGAACGAGCAACAGCAGACUCCAGAAGGACGAAAAGACGUUUCAAACAACUCGACAGAGGACACCGUCACCAGCACGGCGCCCCCGCUGACCCCCGUCAGUACCGCCGUCAGAACCGGCGUCAGAACCGGCGUCAGUACCGGCGUCAGUACCGGCGUCAGUACCAGCGUCAGUACCAGCGUUGACAGAACGCAGGGGACUGCAGGCUACGUGGUCCUCGGCUUGAUCGUCCUGGUGAUCAUCGUUCUGUCUGUGAUCCUCUACUUCCUCAGGAGAGCCUCCCAGACGUACUCGUUCGACCUCCACUCGGCUCCCGCCGGCCGUCCCAACCAACCCGUCGGCACCUUCGAGCGCGUCCACCUGAGCGACCUGGAUCGACCGCCUGCUAGCAGAGAGACCGCCGGCGACCUCUCACCUCCCGCUGUGUCCAACGGCUCCACCCGGCAGGCGGAGGAGCGGCGCUCCGACGGAGGGAGCGGUACAUCUCCAGCUGGUCCUCACGCGUUCUCACCGGUUAUCGGCGCCGUGAACGAAACCGAGCAGAACAUUUGGCCCGAAUGGUUCCUUUAAGGAGCCUCCGGUUGAGAUGAUGAGAUGAUGAGAUGUUCAGAUGUUGAGGAGAUGUUGAGAUGAUGAGGAGAUGUUGAGGAGAUGUUCAGAUGAUGAGAUGUUGAGAUGUUGAGAUGUUGAGGAGAUGUUGAGAUGUUGAGAUGUUGAGAUGUUGAGAUGAUGAGGAGAUGUUGAGAUGAUGAGGAGAUGUUGAGAUGAUGAGGAGAUGUUGAGAUGUUGAGGAGAUGUUGAGAUGAUGAGAUGGAGAGCAGAUCUCCCACGCGUAGUCACAGAGCGCUUUUUAAGCGUCCGCCGGGUCAAACCAGCAGAUCGUAGCAUAAACCUCUGGGUUCGUGGUUAAGUGUCGAUGCCGUCGUCUUGACUACCGAAACAACUUCAAAGUGCAUUGGAGUCCUCGCUCACUUCCCAUCGUCAUGGCCACCAACAGCUGGAGA